AUGCCAGACUCCUACGGGAGGCAGCAGUGGGGAAUAUUGCACAAUGGGCGCAAGCCUGAUGCAGCCAUGCCGCGUGUAUGAAGAAGGCCUUCGGGUUGUAAACUACUUUCAGCGGGGAGGAAGGCGUUGAGGUUAAUAACCUUAGCAAUUGACGUUACCCGCAGAAGAAGCACCGGCUAACUCCGUGCCAGCAGCCGCGGUAAUACGGAGGGUGCAAGCGUUAAUCGGAAUUACUGGGCGUAAAGCGCACGCAGGCGGUCUGUCAAGUCGGAUGUGAAAUCCCCGGGCUCAACCUGGGAACUGCAUUCGAAACUGGCAGGCUGGAGUCUUGUAGAGGGGGGUAGAAUUCCAGGUGUAGCGGUGAAAUGCGUAGAGAUCUGGAGGAAUACCGGUGGCGAAGGCGGCCCCCUGGACAAAGACUGACGCUCAGGUGCGAAAGCGUGGGGAGCAAACAGGAUUAGAUACCCUAGUAUG
rnacentral:rRNA from 1 species